UAUAGAAAAGUUUAUUUGUAGUACAAUAUGUUUAUUUAUUCUUCAUAUGAUUGUGUAUUUGAUUGAAGAUUUUUGUUGGAUAGGACUGAAAAAAAAUAAAAAAAGAAAAAGACACAGGAGUGAUGGGGUGUGAGGAAGAAGAAGACAUGGGGUGUAGGGUGUAAGGAAGAAGGAAAAAAAAAAGGUAAUGGGUGAAAAUUUUAAAAUGGGUCCUACUUAAAUUUUUUUUGGUCAAGUCAGUGUUAAGGGAGU
rnacentral:lncRNA from 1 species